ACCCGCUGAAUUUAAGCAUAUCAAUAAGCGGAGGAAAAGAAACCAACAGGGAUUGCCCUAGUAACGGCGAGUGAAGCGGCAACAGCUCAAAUUUGAAAUCUGGCCUUCUGGUCCGAAUUGUAAUUUGUAGAGGAUGCUUUUGGUUAGGUACCUUUCGAGUUCCUUGGAACAGGACGCCUUAGAGGGUGAGAGCCCCGUACGAUUGGAUACCGAGCCUCUGUAAAGCUCCUUCGACGAGUCGAGUAGUUUGGGAAUGCUGCUCUAAAUGGGAGGUAAAUUUCUUCUAAAGCUAAAUACCGGCCAGAGACCGAUAGCGCACAAGUAGAGUGAUCGAAAGAUGAAAAGCACUUUGAAAAGAGGGUUAAAUAGUACGUGAAAUUGUUGAAAGGGAAGGGCUUAUGACCAGACCUUUGCCUUGCGGAUCAUCCGGUGUUCUCACCGGUGCACUCCGCUUGGUUGAGGCCAGCAUCAGUUUGGGCGGUUGGAUAAAGGUCUCUGUCAUGUACCUCCUUUCGGGGAGGCCUUAUAGGGGAGACGACAUGCAACCAGCCUGGACUGAGGUCCGCGCAUCUGCUAGGAUGCUGGCGUAAUGGCUGUAAGCGGCCCGUCUUGAAACACGGACCAAGGAG
rnacentral:rRNA from 1 species